rnacentral:lncRNA from 1 species
UGAUGGGGAUGCUGGUCCCUCGUCAGUGCUGCAAGGUAAAAUUUCUUCUCCCAGUAAAUAUCUUGUCGAUUGUGAAACAGAGAUUUCUGUUGGAAAAAAUAGAAUGAACAAGCAAAGUCAAUUGCCUGCAGAAAAUGGGGAUAAUAUUGAAAAUAGACCAUGUUUUGGUCUUGUCUCUGGGGAAACAUAUUCAGGAAUGAAAGUGGGUGGGGGAACUAGUGGAAAAAAUCAAAAUAAGGUGAGAGAUAUUGAUUUCAACAAAUCUAUCAGAAAAAAUGGUAAAAAUUAUGGCGCUGGAUCUAUUAUAGAAUCCAGUCGCAAGGUCGAUCCAGACCUGGUUAGAAGAAGUAUCUCCAUAUCUGAAAAAAUGAAUUGUGCAAAUUAUGUACAAAUUCCAGAUUUCUGGUCAAGUGAUGUUGUACAUCUAGAUAAUAUGGUCAUUGAUAGAUGUCAAGUAUCAAUGCAUGUAGGGAUUACGAGUAGAUAUGGUAUAUCUUCCCCUACUUGGGGUAAAAAGGCGACUGAUAAAGAUGAGCAAAAAAUGGACAAAGCAAAAGGGGAGGCGGGUUUUAGCAAUAUGCUUUCCCAAGCCUUCCUGACUAUAAAUAGUCCGCCUCUCCUCUGUUUUGAGAGAGAGUGCAAUCCCCUUGAGGAUUUAGGGUUUCCCCUUCCCCCGCCGCCACUGGGUGAAAGUGAAGAGAGAGAGAUGAUGAACAGGGGGGCUGGAGGAUAUCAGGGGGGAGAUUCAAUAGGGGAGGGAGGGAAAAUUUCCAGUACAGAAGAAAGGAAGAACUUGAAAGAUUUAGAGAAAAUUACCCCAACUAUGAGAGAGGAAGUGGAAGAUUUGGGUACAGGGAGGAGACAGGGAAAUCUGAUCAACAAGUGGAGGAAGAGAGGAGAGGGAUGGCAGAUCUAAAGCUUCCUUCAAGCUCCAAGGAAGAAUCUGUGAAGAGGAUGGAAGAGGAUCAGAGGGCUAGAGAUCUCGAAGGCAAAGAGGAUGUGGUGAUGCCUUCUCCCUCUUUCGAUCAGAUCCAACAACACCAGUGGUUUGGGGCUCUCAUGGCCUAGAUGGCCCAACAAAAGAUGGAAAGCUCGUCUGGGGGUGGAAUUGUUUUCCCCCCGGAAGCAGUAGAAUUAACCUGUCUGAUGAGACUAAGAAAUAGCUUGCAUGAGGGAAAGAUCCCAUGGAAAAAAGUGAAGCUAUCAUAGAUGUGGGAAUAUGCAAGGGCAGAAAGGAUGGUUUCAGAACAACAGGUUUGGCCAGAGGGAGAGCUUGGAUCAAAACAAAGCUGGUGGGAACUUUAGAGUGUUGUGCAACAAGUGCAAGGACACCAGACAUCUGAUUAGAGAUUGCAAGUUGCCCAAUUUUAUCAUUUGUGGCAAGAACUCUCACAUCACUGAGGAAUGUGCUUGGCUGAAGCAAAUCAAGCCAACCCCCAAAUUUAUUGGAUAUGCAGCUAGAGGUUUAGGAGCGCUGUUGGUUCAAAAUUCUAAAGAAGUUGUUAGUAGUGAACAGACUAACCCUAUGGCCAUUGUGAACAUAUCUUCUGGGGAGAUUAAUGAAACUCAAUUCUUGGAGGGGUUCAACUACUUGUUUAGCUGAAACUGGCAAUGGAGAUGCAAAAAACAUGGAGACAAAGCUUACUUGAUGAGAUUUCCUAGCAAGAGCAAACUGGCAGAACUUCACAAAUUUGGAAAUUUCAAUUUGCUGGGGACCAAUGCUGUGAUUAAUGUGGACAACUAGACUUAUGACACUCAAGCUAUUGGCAAAUUGCACACAGUGUGGGUGCAGUUUGGGAAAAUCCCUGAAUGUUUCAGACAUUUUUUUGGAAUGUGUGAGGUGGCUGCUUCUCUUGUUCCUGUUUUGGAAAUUGAUAUGUCCACUAUUCUGAAAGAGAUAAUCAGGGCUAAAGUGGGAGUCAGAGACUUUGGAAAAAUCCCCCAUCAUACUGAGAUUACUGACAAGGACCUGAUCAUAUAUAGAAUCAACAUUGAGUUGGAAGAGGUGAUCGAACAAGGGUGGUAUGAAGAAAAAAGAAAGUUUGAGAACAUGGAAACUGAACUUGAUGGAACAACUAUGGGAGGUCAGAAAAAAAUCAAGAUUGGUGAGUUGGGAGCUGAUGGGAUCAAGGAAAACAUCUCCAUGGGAAGUGUAGGACUCAAAAAAUUUGAGGAGAUGCAACAAAAAAAUGAGGAGAUAUUGAAGAUGCGGAAAGAUUACUUGCUAGAGGUGGGCUUGAGAAAGAAAGUAGAGGUGGAGCUGGAUAAAGUUCUCAAAAAGUUUCAAGAAGUUGAAGAAAUCAAGUGCAGGAAUGAUGCUUGGAAAGCUGUGGACAAAAAAAAGACUGCUAUUUGGGAAACUGAGAAGAGGAGUCUGCAGGAUAUGAUCCAAGGUCAGCAAGAGUUGAUAAACAAGUGCAGGGAAAAAAUUGAUGCUUGGAAAGAGAAAGAGAUCUAUGGAGAAGAUUUAGGUGAGAAAAAUGAGAUGGAAUCUAAAAUAUCCCAGGAUAACACACCUGAAGAUGCUUAUGUAGAACCUGUGAAUUACUCAGCUAGUCAAGAUUCAGUGGAAUCUCUAGGCACAAAAUUAGGAAUUCACAAGAAGGAGGAGGGAGACAAGGAUAAAUAUAAAGAGGGACCUGCUAGAAGAAGUGAUAGAAACCUGGAUAAAAAAGAUGCUAAAAUAGAAGACCUGGCCAAGGAAAGGGCGGCUGAAAAAGACAAUUAUGGUAAGGAUUCUGUUCUUUGUGAUGAAAAAAUUUCUUUAUAUGAUAUGGCUAACAAGGUUGGAAUUGGUUUGGGAUGUGCACUAGAUAUGGUUGCAUAGAACUAGACCUGAUUUCUACCAUGGAGAGGGCUAGAAGAGAUAUGUAUCUCCAAAAAAUAAUCAAUGAAAAAAGGGGAGAGAAAAAAGAUGACUCUCCAAGUAUUAUUGACAUUGGAGAUGUUGAGUUAGAGGACUUAUGUUCAGAAGGAGAUAAUUUUGAGGAGGAUAUAGAGAUAGAACAUUAUGACAAAUUGAAAAAGAUCUUUUCUAGCAACAGAAAAAUGAGAGGUGGGAUGCCAGCCUUUAGUGUUGGGGAAAAAUCCAUCUUGAGUGGGGGGACUAGAGUGAAAAAUCAUAAAAGGAAAAAAAUGAGAGGCAUGUUCUGGAAUGUCAGAGGGAUUGGGAAGGAUAUUAAAAGAAACUUGAUUAGAGAUACCAUUUUGGAGAAACAAUUAGAUUUUGUUGGACUCCAGGAAACCAUCAAGAGUGACUUCACAAAAAAUGAACUACAUAACCUUGCUGGAGGAAGAAGUUUUCUCUGGGAAUGGAUUGCCCCUAGAGGUAAAUCUGGGGGAAUCUUAGUAGGAGUUAAUAAUGACUGCUUUGAUAUUAUUCAGGUGGAAACAGGGUCACAUUUCAUUAAAAUACAUUUGUUUGAUAAAAUAUCCAAAUUUAGUUGGAAUCUGGUCAUAGUAUAUGGUGAUGCCCCAAAAAAAUGGAAAAGCAGCCUUUUUGGCGGAAUUGUCUAGGUUCUAUAAGAUAAUACACAACCUUGCAUGAUAGGGGGGGAGUUUAACCUGAUCAGGAAUAGUUCACUAAAGAACAAUCCUGGAGGACUAGAUCAUUUUAGUUUUGUUUUCAAUGCUAUCAUUGAGCAUGCUGGACUCAGAGAUCUUCCUUUGAAUGGGAGAAAAUAUACCUGGGCAAACAACCUGCCUGAUCCCACCUAUGAGAAACUCGACAGAAUUUUAAUCUGUCCAGAUUGGGAAGACAAAUACCCCCUGGCUAUGGUGAAUGCCAUGGAAAGGGAAAUUUUCGAUCACACCCCUCUGCUAUUAGACACUGGGGAUCAUAGAAAAAUCUAGCCCAUAUUCAGAUUUGAAAAUGCCUGGAUGCUCAUGGAAGGUUUUAGGGAAUUUGUGGAAAAAAAAUUGGAACAUUAAAUGUAAAGGCUCUAGCCUAGACAUUUGGCAAACAAAACUAAGGAACAUCAGGCAGAAAAUAAGGGUGUGGAUUAUUAAUGCUAAUGCUGCUUACAGAAAAAGAAAAAAAGAUUUACUAGAGUUACUGGAUGAGAUUGACAAAAAAGCUGAAACUAGUGGCCUUAGUGCUCAAGAUGGAGAGAUUCAGAAAAAUUGGAAGAAAGAACUGAAGGACAUUUAUAAGAUGGAAGAAAUUAAAUGGCUAAAAAAUAUAAAGAUAAGGAGAUAAAAGAGGGAGACUCUAAUACUAGGUACUGUCAUGCCAAGGUUAAUGGCAGAAGAAGGAAAAACUGGAUUACUACACUAGAGCAUGAGGGUGAGCCCAUUGAGGGGGAUACCAAACUCAUGGAACAUGUAACCAAUUACUAUAAAACUCUGUUUGGUCCUCAUAUAUCCAAUAUCAAUUUGGAUAUUCAAAACCCUGUGGGGACUUCCACACAGGAAGAAAAUGAUUUGGUUAAACCUUUUAGUUUGGAAGAAUUAGAGAUGUGGUUUUCACUAUGGAAAAAAACAAAAGACCAGGGCCUGAUGGAUUUGCUGUAGACUUUUACCAACAUGUUUGGGAGUUUCUUUAGACAGAUUUGAAAGCUAUUUUAGAUGACUUCCAUAGUGGCAAAGUUGAUCUGGCUAGAUUGAACUAUGGGAUUUUUACCCUAGUUCCAAAAGUUAAAGAUGCUAAACAAAUUCAAAACUUUAGACCAAUUUAUAUUUUAAAUGUCAGUUUCAAGAUUAUCACUAAAAUACUUAUGAACAAACUGAGCAAAGUAGUCAAUCCUAUCAUUUCUCCCAUCCAAACUGCUUUUGUCAAAGGUAGAUAUAUUCUGGAGGGAGUGGUAAUUUUGCAUGAGGCUCUCAAUUCUAUACAAAAUAAAAAGCAAAGUGCUAUGCUGUUCAAAGUUGACUUUGAAAAAGUAUAUGACAAAAUCAAGUGGCCGUUUGUUCAUAAGAUGCUCAAAUUAAAAAACUUCCCUGACAAAUGGUGUGACUGGGUGUUACACACUAUGAGAGGUGGGCAUGUAGGAGUUAAAGUGAAUGAUGACAUAGGACCUUACUUCAAAACCUUUAAGGGGCUAAGACAGGGAGAUUCUUUAUCCCCUCUGCUAUUUGAUCUGGCAGUUGAUGCUCUUGCCAUCAUUUUAGAUAGAGCUAGAGAGGAAGGGUUUGUGAAAGGAGUCCUCACUGAUUACCAUGAAAAUGGGGUCAAUAUGCUGCAAUAUGCAGAUGAUACCAUUUUUUGAUACAAGAUGAUGAAGAUUCUGCCAAAUAUUUAAAAUUUAUUUUAACUGCUUUUGAAUAGAUGUCUGGCUUGACAGUAAAUUUCCAUAAAAGUGAAAUAUUUUUAUUUGGGGGGGGGCAGAGAGAAAAAAGAUUUGUAUCAGGGGAUAUUCACCUGCAUUCUGGGGGAAACCCCCCUGAAAUAUCUUGGCUUGCCUGUAUCUAACAAGAGAAUCAGAAACAAAAUGUGGAAGAAUGUUACUGAUAAAAUUGAGAAAAGAUGUGCCUGCUGGCAGGGUAGACUUCUAAAUAUUGCAGGAAGAGUCACUUUGGUGCAAUCCUGUUUAUCUAAUAUCCCUAUAUACAUGAUGUCUUUUUAUCUCCUGCCAGCUGGAGUUAGAAAAAAGGUGGACUUUACAGAGCUAGGAUGGUGUGGCAAUCAAAAGAAGAGAAAAGAAAAUACCAUCUGGUGAAUUGGAAAACCUAAUGUCUCCCAAAGCAACAAGGAAGCCUGGGGAUGACCAAUAUUGAAAUGUUUAAGAUAGCUCUAUUAGCUAAGUGGUUAUGGAAACUACAGAAUGUUGAGGGCUUUUGGCAGGGGAUUGUUAAAAAAUGCUGGGGAGAAAUAUCUCUCUGGAAUUAAACAUAAAAGUGGGGAUUCCCAAUUUUGGUCUGACAUCUUGAAAAUUAGGAAAUAUUUCUAUCCACAUGUUAAGAAGAAAUUGGGAGAUGGCAGGAACACCAGGUUUUGGGUUGACUGGUGGGUUGGGGAUUAAUCCCUCAAAGAGGCUUACCCCUCUUUGUUUUUCAUUAGUAAUGACCAGGGGAUUAUAGUUAGAGAAGCUAUUGAUAAAGGAUGGGGUGGUUUUACCUUCAGGAGAUCUCUUUAUGGGGAUACUGAGCAACUUUGGAGUAACAUGAGAGCGAGAUGUGAGGAAGUUUUGAUGCAUGGGGGAUAAGCCUAUGUGGAUGUUGACCACUGAUAAAAAAUUCACUGUUAAAUUGCUAUACAGAUAUCUGAUCAAAUCUGACGUAUGGUUCCGUAGGAAAUUCCUGUGGAAAAUUAAAGUUCCUACUAAGAUUAGAUUCUUUCUUUGGCUUUUGGCUAGAAAAAGUAUACUCACUAGAGAUAACUUGCUAAAAAGAGGCUGGAAAGGUGAUAACCAUUGUGUGUUUUGUGGCAAAGAUGAAAUGAUUGAUCAUCUGUUUUUCUCUUGCUCAGUAGCCAGAAUCAUCUGGGCUCUAGUGAGAUGUGCGUUUGAUCUGAAAUGUACUCCUAGAGACCUUAAUGACUGUUUGGGAAAAUGGCUGCAAAAUUUCCAGAAAGAUAGCAAGAAACUUAUACUGGUUGGCGUCUCAGUGCUGUUGUGGGCGAUCUGGAGAUGUAGAAAUGACAUUGUGUUUGAUAGAAAAAUGAUUUCUGGCCCAAUGGGAAUUGUGAAAAUGAUGUGUGGGUGGAUUUCUGACUGGGCUGUUUUGCAGAAAAGGUGCCCAGGGGAAAGAAUGUUGAUGCUGGGAGAAAAACUCAUCAUGCAAGUAGCAAGUGAUGUCUACAAGGCUGGCAUUUUGGAGUACUUCGAAUCUAGCAAUGACGGGGGUAAAAAAAGACUUCUACUUUUGGUGCUUCGACGAAGUGAAGUGAAGUGGAAGAUCUGCGUAUGAGGCUAAUCUUUUGUGCCUACCUUUGUUGUUGUGUUAUCUUAUGUAGUUUCCUGUUUUGGCCUUGUUAUGAUGUGAGACUUCUCUGAAAUGUAAUAGGGCUAGAUCUUAUCCGCAGUGAUUUCGACAACAUGUUUGGAUACUUUGCAUGUUGGUUUCUCUAAUGGAAAUCGGAGGGGAAAC